CAACAAAAUAUACAAUACAAUUAUGGUCAUCCUGAUGUGCCACAAGAAAACUACAGGUUAAACGUGGGGAACUACUUUCUGGAGCAUCAUUACUUGAUCAAUGUAAGAGAAUGAACUGCCCCACAAUCUGGCUAUUGCUACAUCUGGCCAAGUGGCACUGAUUCCAAGCUUGGAAACUGCAUGAGAUUCAGCAAAAGACAGCACUGAGCAGCUUGACCUCCUAAUGCAAACAUACCAUGUCGGAGAGUAAGAUCAAAACAAACACAAGAGUUAGAAGAUCCUGAAGAUAAACUCCCCAGAUGUGUGCAGGAUUGAUAUCUGCUUUUGCUUUUUCUUUUGUUGUGCUAACUGUAGACUAUUUUAGAGGGAUUAUUUUUGUGUUUCAUUGAAAUUAUAUUUCAUAUUUUGAACUUUAUAGUCAAAAUAAACAUAAAGAGCUCAAAUGAUUUCCCCCUAUAACCCACUGUCAAAUAAGCAGGGGCAAGCUUCAGUUUAAGUGAAAACUAGGGGUUGAUUUAUAGAAAUUAUUUCUAAAUGCAAUGACUACAAGAGUCACUUCCAACAUAAAGUAUAUCAUUAAAAAAAUUAAAUUGGUAAUUUCUUUUAGUAUCUGUACUAUGUUGUGAUGUAAGGUUUUAUCUCACCCUCCUACCCUCCCCAAACCUGCUCCCGUCCAGUCUUUCCCAUCACAGUAAGUGGCAACUCCAGUCAUCUCAGUUGCUGCUCAGGUCAGAAACCCUGAAGUCACCCUUCACUCCACGCAAUCUCAUCUCUUCCCUUAGAAUGUGCAACCACUUCUCUCAUGUCUGCCACCAUCCUAUACCAAGCCAUCAGCGUCUCUUGCUUGGGUUUACUUCAAUGAACAUACCCACUGGUCUCCCACCCUUGCUUCCUGAUCAAUUCUCCACAGAGGCCAGAGUAAUCCUUUUAAAACAGAAGUCAGAUCAUAUCACUCCCCUGCCAAAACCCUCCCACAGCCGUACACUAUCUGAUUGCAUCUACUACUUUCUCCCUUGAUGAUGAUGUCUCAGCCCUGUUUCUGGAAGAUGUCACGUACACUCCUGCCUCAGGGCUUUGCAACUGCUGGUUGUUCUGCCUGGCAUGUUCUUCCUUCUUGUUAUGCAAACAAUUCACCUUCUUCAAGUAUUUGCUCAAAUAUCAG
rnacentral:lncRNA from 10 species